rnacentral:misc_RNA from 1 species
AAAGUCGUAACAAGGUUUCCGUAGGUGAACCUGCGGAAGGAUCAUUACCAAUCCAAAGUAACGGUAGUCAAGCUCAAACUUGGCUGCUGUUAACUAAACACUUGUGAACUGUAAUCUUAGACAGAGUCUUGGACUGCCGCUGUCUGUGCCACAGACAGUAGGCUGAUCAUUGGAGACUAGUCUAUAUCAUUGCCAGAGCAAUUUGGCAGUGGUUUAACUAGCGUCCUUUGAUGACUGACGCAAGUCAAAGUCCUUGGCUUCCGUCGCUGUAUUUGGCACUUAUUUUUUAAAUGUCUAAGGACCGUGACAAACUUUUAACGUAUUACAACCUUUAACAAUGGAUCUCUUGGCUCCU